AACCACUUUGACUAUAUGUCCUUGGGUGAAGCCGUCAGUGACCUUCGCCAGGCAGCUGACAUUCAAGGCACUGGUGAGGACUCCUCCAUUGCGUUCAAUGAUUUGUUUCCACAGAACUGUUGUAUCCAGAAAAGACACAGGGAACAGGGGUUACCACUGAGAAUCAGUGCCAGUUUCCCUCUCGGUUGAAAGUUGCAUCUCAUCAAGAAAGGAAUACACAAAAGUCUACUCUAACUUAUUUGUAACUCAAAUGAACCAAAGCCAAGUAACUAAAUGCUUUCCUCUAGAGAAUUUUCAACCAUAAGCCAUACAUAUCAAUGACCCUGAGGUCUACAGAUCUACAAGUGCCCUGCAAAUUAACAAGGAAAAACACCAGCAGUAUAGUUUUAAUGUGGUACCUGUAAAGAUGUUGACAAUCUUUCAACAUUUGAAAUUUUCAUAGGGUGUAUAAUGGCAUCUCUUCUCAUCAGAAUAUUGUAUUUCCCAAGUAAUUUGGAUAAGGAGUUUAACUUAUUUUUUUAGGUGUAAAGUUAAUAUCUCAUAUUAUUUUUACAUCUGGAAUCAGAAUGCAGAUUCCAAUUUUCAUCAGCUACUGCCAGGGUCAGUUCCCUUUCAGUGGAAGACACUGUAUUACACAUUGUAUUAAAUAGAGCAAUUUGACCCUUAUUCUUUCCCCCUCAGCAACUGUAAACACGCACUGGUUGACUAGAGUCCUUCAGAUGAGGGCCUGGGUGUUCUCUGGUUUGUGGGACCUGGAGUAAAUGAGAUAUUUCAAUCUGAACACAGGGGUGCUGUGAAAAUGAAUUAUGAAAUAAUUCUGGGUGCUUAACUUUAGAGAUGGAAUGAACUCCUGUACAAUCCUUAAAAUCAUUCUGUAUUUGGAGAAUUAACUCUAUUCUGUAAAGGGAACACAAGGGAAGUAAAGGAGACUUGCUGUAACUUAUUUAAUUAUAUCCAGACAGUGGAGAAGGGUGAAGGGUGUUUACAAGAGCAUCUGUCAGUCUCAGCACUGGGAUAAUCUGGUCAAAUAUCUCUAAACCAUUUUGAGUUUACUUGAGGAACACUUGAAACCAUUUUUAAAAAAUGUCAAUGACUACCUGAUCUGAGCAUUGUCAGGCCUGGUAAGGGGUUAAUUCUGAGUCUGUUAAAUGACUACAUCAUACAAGUAUGUUGAUCCAAAAAUGGCUGAUAAAAGGAAAAGGUCUACUUACUGUAAAGGAAUACAAUGGCUUAUAAUGUAACUAUGAACCAUGCUGGAGAAUCUGGCUUUUGGGCUGUGAGCUAUUCCAGCAGUUCACUCCCACUGUCCUCUUUUGGGGGGUCCUUGGCCCUGUGGGUGAGCUGAGCUGCUGGGAAAGGGUGAACUGUACCUCGGGGCCUGCCAGUUUCUCUGAGCUGUGGAGGCUCAGGCAUCCAGGGUUUGGAGACCUGCAGUGAAACCAAGGAGGGCCACAAGGACCCCAAACUGGCCUAAAGGAUCAUCAGAUCCCCAAUCUACUCUGCUCCUUCCUUGGUGGGUUUCUUUGAGUUUGAGCCCCAAACUAGUCUUAUCUGUAAAACAGGCGUAGAAGGAUUGACUUCUCAGUGCUGCUAUGAAAAACAAGCCCAACAGUGUUUAUAAAGCACUCGGAAGUGCAGCAGCCCGGCAUGUGGUGGGGACUUGACUUUCUAUAGCUACGUUACUGUUGUUAUUACAAUAACAAUGAUUGUUCAUUCCAUCUUGCACUGAAGUUUCCUAACCCUCAUUAAAACAUCAACUACAAAAGACAACAUAAAAUAAGCUACAGAGUGUUUCAAAGCCUGUUUGUGUAGGGAUGGAUGGCAGCAGGUGAAGACUAUCCUUAUCCAAAUAUAACUGUUGCAGAGUUAGAGAUAAGAAAACAUAGCCCACGGUAAAAAUGAUCAACAACAACACCUAGCCCACAUCUUCACUUGAGAUCCGGCGUGUCUGCUCGUCACAUUUAUAACAUCUAAACAAAGUACCAGCGGGUCUGAGUGGUGACUCUGGAAGCUGAGAAGGGAACACGAUUUAUGGGAGAGUCACAGGUAAGGCCCCAAAAGCUGAAGUCGACAUCCCAGGCUGGGUUGCACGCUUGCGGACUCAGUUCUGGGCUAGCAGGAGCAAAAUUCCUACCUGUGGUGCCAAAGGGAACCAUCAGUGGGAAAGGGUGAGGGCCACGUGCUCCCUGGCAACCAGUAACUCUCUCCCUGGCUUCUCUGUGAGGUCACAACAGUCACAAUCUUGGAAGUUUUCUGCCCAAAUCAUCCAACCUUUUUGCAGGAGUGAUCACAUGAUGAGUAGAGAUGCAUUAGUAACGGAGUACAGUUACUGUACUGGGAAACGGUGAACUGUACCGUGGGGCCUGUCAGUUCCUCCAAGCUGUGGACGACUAGGCAUCAAGGCUUUGGAGACCUGCAGUGAGACCAACAAGGGCCAGAGGGACAUGUAAACCCGCUGCUGCCCAUUUAAAGUGUAGGAUACUUGGUAUUCACGGAGAGUUUCGGUCAAGAUUCCUCUCAAUACAUGACUCCUUGGUUGCUCUCCAUAGAUCACCAUUUUUACUGGAGUUGCAGCAAGAGAGAUCUGUGAAGCAGUCCCAGCUGUGGUGGGACCUGCCCACCUGCCCGCUCAUCUGAAGACCCAGAGAAGGGGAUGCAAAACCAGGCUUGGCUUCCUUCCUGCAGCUGAUGAACUUGAGCUGUUGGUCUUUCAAAGAAUCUCUUCUAUUGCUUUUACACAACCACCCACUCAUGGGUUCUUGGCCCUUAAAUAGCUGCUCUGGGGCCCACGGUGGUGUCAGAUCCGCCCUUCACUUCUCAGCACUGUCUGUCCCCACAUGGCCUGGAGGAAUUUGAGGAGUGGGGCCGUGGGGACUGUCGCACACCUUCGAGCUCCAUUGCGGGUGGAGAGAUGGCCAAGCCGCCGUCCAUGCUACGGAUUGGCAGCCCUUGCUUUAUGGACUGGAAGAGACCACUUUUGAUCGCCACAAAGAUAAGAACAGUCUUUCUCUAAGACAGAUGUCCCAGCCACUGUGGCUAUGAAAACUUCAAGGUCACUGGAGGAAAUGCUGGACGAGGGGCAAUGAUGUCAGCCAGAAUGGUGGCCUGAACACAUCACUCCCCAAGACAGAAAUAUUGAGGAGCAUGUGCUUCAGUGGACAGAACCCAGGGUCUGAGAGCAGUGUCUGGUGCAGCUUUAUCAUCUGCCCAUAGGUGGAGGGACGCUUUCUCUCCUUCCUCUCCCAUCACGAUGCUGUGAGGAGAUUCAGGUAGGAAUCUGUAGUGUGAUUUGAAUCCUAAAGGAUGCGUGGUGUUUUAUCAAAAGAACAAAAUUGCCAGCCAUCCAUCAAUAGCUUCAUUUUUAAAGGGCCUAUAGUUUUGUCAAACAAUAAAAACCAUUCUGUUCAGAGUCCAGAA